UACGGAGGGUGCAAGCGUUAUCCGGAUUCACUGGGUUUAAAGGGUGCGUAGGUGGGUUUGUAAGUCAGUGGUGAAAUCUCCGUGCUUAACAUGGAAACUGCCAUUGAUACUAUAGGUCUUGAAUUUUCUGGAGGAUAGCGGAAUAUGUCAUGUAGCGGUGAAAUGCAUAGAUAUGUCACAGAACACCGAUUGCGAAGGCAGCUUACUAAAGUGUAAAUGACGCUGAGGCACGAAAGCGUGGGGAGCGAACAGG
rnacentral:rRNA from 1 species